AAACCAACAGGGAUUGCCUUAGUAACGGCGAGUGAAGCGGCAAAAGCUCAAAUUUGAAAUCGGCCAUCAGGUCGAGUUGUAAUUUGUAGAUUGUACUUUGAGAGCGGAUUAAAGUCUGUUGGAACACAGCGCCUUAGAGGGUGACAGCCCCGUAAAAUCUAUUCUCAUUGUAAGGUACUUUCGAAGAGUCGAGUUGUUUGGGAAUGCAGCUCUAAGUGGGAGGUAAAUUCCUUCUAAAGCUAAAUAUUGACGAGAGACCGAUAGCGAACAAGUACUGUGAAGGAAAGAUGAAAAGCACUUUGAAAAGAGAGUGAAAAAGUACGUGAAAUUGUUAAAAGGGAAGGGUAUUGAAUCAGACGUGGUGCUGUUGUUCAACUUUGUUUCGGCAUGGUGUACUCAGCAGUACUAGGCCAAGGUGGGGUGUUUGGGAGUGAAAAAGGAAUAGGAACGUAGCUCUUCGGAGUGUUAUAAUCUAUUUUCAUAGCUCCUCAGGCGCCUCAGGACUGCGCU
rnacentral:rRNA from 1 species